GCGGUGGCGGCGCAGCUUUUGUGGUGCCCCGGUGGGACCGCGGCCGGCCUCGGCCUCUCCCGGCCGGCUCGUUGGCAAGCCCCGCGUCCCUCAGGCGCAGGGAAGCGAUGCUGGUCGAGGCGAAUCCACAGCUGCGCCUUCCCCCGCCAUGUUACGGCGGGGCUCCCUCAGGGCCGGUUCCGCUUCCCCCCGGCGCUGAGCGGCGGCGAAACACGAGCGAGCCUGGCAGUGGAUAAAAACAUGAGGUGACCAAGAUGUUGUGACCAGAAAUGAAGGGUGAUCCUUCAGAAAAAAGCUGCCCAAGCAAACUUCAGCCACCUUUCUGAGUUGAAGCAGCAGCGUGUGGAGUGUGGCUGAGCCCUGUCUGCAUUUCCCCCUUUGCCAGGGCAGCCCCGAGCUGCAGAGCAGAUCAUUCCUUGAGCUGCAGGAUGUCUGACAAACGUGGCAACUGAGAUCUGGUUGGCAGCAUCCACGUCUGAUGGUUUGGAGAUUCCUAAAACUUGAUCAUCUGUGUUUUCUCUACAUGGUUAAGAAGAAUUUAAAUUAAAAUUAAAAAAAACCAACUAAAUAAAGAUACCACCUACAAGACUGAAA